UCAGCGAUACUUAGGAAAGUCAGAUUCCAAUAAUCCACUGCGUCAUCAAGGUCAUCAAAGGUGUCCAGCACACUCCACGGGGCCUCAUCAAGGUCUUUUAGGAAGGCCUCCUCAUCCAGCUUCUUGCAGUCACGGUAGGAAAUAUAGACAUGGUUUUUAUCUGCUGCGCGAUCUUGUUUCUUUUUGUAUCUGCGCACAACGCACACUGGUAAAUGAUCUGGUAGUCCGAUGUUGCAUACCUUGGUCUCUGUGAUGCACUGUAGCUGGUUGGUGUAAACGUGAUCCAAGCAAGCCUGGCUCUCUGGACGAGUCACUUCAUUGAUGGUUUGAGUGAAACCAAGGCUGGUGAGGAACUUGAUUAGACGAUGCUUUUGGUUUUGCUGUUUGAGGAAGUUGAUGUUGAAAUCCCCCAGUAGUAGCUCUUCUUUGUUGGUGAUGUACAUUUUUUCUAUGAGACCUUCUAGCUUAGCAUCCAUUUCAGCAGUUGAAUCCGGCACACGAUAGACUCAGGCAAUAAUAAUUGGGCAGUUGGACUUGCACGGUAUCACUUGAGUGCAAAGGAGCUCUGUGUCACUUGAUUCUAGAGUUGGUAAACGGGUAUAAGCCAUAGCGUGAGGUACGUACAUCAUUACUCCUCCCCUUUCCUUUCUAGUUCUAUCUUUCCGCUCAAAAUGAUAUCCAGGGAUCCCAUAUUCUUCGUUCGUGUGUGAGGAAUUCAGCCAUGUCUCGGUAAUAAUCAUCACAUCAAUCUCCGUACGAGGGUGUGUAAGGAUUUCUUUUAUUUGCUCGUAUUUAUCAUUAUUGAAGCUCCUCGCGUUCCAAUGACAUAUUCUUACACCAUUUUUGGACAGUGGAAUGCAUGGCAGAUGGACGUUAGUAGCGUGAUUUGUAGCUUGUGGACCUGGAUUAAGCUGGACGUCAUUUGAAAGGCAGACCAGUAGUAGUGCAAUGGAGGCGCUUCUUAGUAAGUCUAAACAAACACGAGCCGGGGCAGUGGACGACGAUGGAGUAGAUUUGUGUAGUCGUCUGAAGUGAAAUUGCGGUGUAUCAUUUAUAAUAAGGGCAUUUGAAGCUUGGAGUAACACAGAGCUAUUGUCAUGACUGUCAUUUAUCCCUCGCAGCACCAAACACAGGAAUGUCAAAGUGAGGAGCUUCCGAUGCCAAAUCAUCAUUUAUCCCUCGCAGCACCAAACACAGGAAUGUCAUAGUGAGGAGCUUCCAAUGCCAAAUUAUCCUGAGCGCUCUCACUAAGAACAGCGCGUGCAGUCAGAAUUCAACGGUCAGCUCGAGGAUGGAGUCUGUUGUCGGUUGUCCCUGACGAAUCUGUGUUUGUCCGCGCUAACCAACGAAGACAAGCCGAAAGCUGCGCGAGCCGCGAAAAACUACAACUUUCAACGGAGAAACUUUUAAAAGAACUUGUGAAACUUCUCAAAUUCUUAAUCGUGUAAGUCCAGCCGCUUGCUUCUUGAGCACGAUGACCUUAUAAUGAAAUCCACAACUUUUCAGAUUUGGCCGUCAAUGGAAAGCGCAAAAAUAAAGCUGAUUUUCAGGAGCCGGUUUGCGCGUGACUGCCUUAUCUGAAGAGCGCGCCAGCGAAGAGUCAGCGGUGCAUGAUUCACCGCACGUUCGCAAUACUAAAGAGCUUCUACGAAUACUAUGGCGACUACUGGGAAUACUAUGGAGAAAACAAGGAAUUAUUUGGUAGGUAUGACUACUGUUAUCAGAUGUUUUAGGGGUUUUGCUCAUCACGCCUUUCGAAGAGUGUCAAUUGCUGCCUUUUAGAGCGUAGAAAAGGUCAUAAACAAACUGAGGAUCGAUCGAAUGAACUUACAGAACAACGAACACGUGCAGUUAAACUUACACCAGCACAUGAUACCUCACCAAAUGACCCCAAUUCGGUCUAAACAAAUCAACCCAAUGCCUACUAUGGCGGAUAACCAAACUAGUCCCUCGCCUCUGGGAAAGGCGAAAGGGAUACAAUCUGCCCAAACCUUAUUGCCUGAUGGCUGUAAGGCUUUGGUUACUAAUACAGCUAAGCAAAAUAACCCCAUUGUAAGCAAACAACUCAACCCCAAUGUGGGUAAACAAAUCAACCCCAUUGUGGGAAAACAAACUAACCCAAUGCCUAAAAUGGUGGGUAAACAAACUAACCCAAUGCCUAAAAUGGUGGGUAAACAAACUAACCCAACACCUAUUGCGUUUGGAGGAAAACUAGCCCCGUUGUGGGUAUCCAAACUAAUCCUGUCAUGGGUAUCCAAACUAACCCAAUGCCUAUUACGGCGGGUAAACAAUAAACUCAAGGUGGGUCAAACCACAAAUCAAUUCCCACAGGCGGGGAUGAACGAGUCUCAAUUUCUACUUGAUGCUGAAAGCUGCACUAGUAAUGACAUGACAACUUUGAAAGCCAUGACGAGUCCGGGUUGUUAUUGAAUACAAAAAUUCAUUAAUUUGAUACCCCUAAAGGAUAGCAGUAUCAGAAUAGCCAUUAAACACCCCCUGAGGGAUAGUAGUUGGGUGAAGUGUAUACCCUAAAAGAUGAUUAUCUACACCCCAUCUACAUUUUUGGAGAGUCAAACCCCAGGGGGUGGGGGUCAUGGCAGAAAUUAGUAAUGUACCCAAGACACCAGGAUUUACUUGGAAAUGGAUAUAAAAUAAAACUACUCCAAAGCUAGUUUGCAUCCCCUAUAUCCUUAAAUUUGAUACAAGUAUUGCUAAAAAAAAGUGCAUCCACGCAGGCUCCGCUUUUAGGCAGUACCUAAAUCUAUAUAUUACCUUUAAUUUAAAGACUUUCAAAAAAUGCCGCCGAGCCUAUUGAGGCCGAUUUUUUAAAACUGACUUUAAGCAAAUUGAGAAAAGCAUAGGGUUCUAGUUCCAUUUGAAGCUGAAAAUGGUUACAUGCGGUGCUCUGGUGAGGUUCAUUUCUUUACCUCUUUUCUGGCGCUUUUUGGUAUCCCAUUUUUAUAAAUAAAAAAAAUGAGAAUUAUGAAGUUUGUAGAACUGUUCACAACUUGUUGGAGUGUUCUAACGGGGUUUAACGUGGUCUAACGGGGUUUAACUCGGGUAGCGGAGUCUAGCGUGGAUUAACGAGGUCUAACGGGGUUGAGCGUUGUCUAACGAGGUUUAACAUGGUCUAACGGGAUUUAACGUAGUCUAACGGGGUGUUUAACGUUGUCUAACGUGACGCGGGUUAAACGUGUGCUAAUGGGGUGUAACUUUGUCUAACGAGGCUUACCGUGGUCUAACGGGGUUAAACGUGGUCUAAAGGAGUUUAACUUGGCCUAACUGGGUAUAACGUUGUCUAACGUGGCUUAACGUACGGGGUUCAACGUGGUCUAACGGGGUUUAACGUUGUUAACGUGGCUUAACAUGGCUUAACGGGGGCUAACGUUGUCUAACGGGGUUUAACAGGGUAUAAAGGGGUUUAACUUGGCCUAACUGGGUUUAAUGUUGUCUGACGAGGCUUAACGUGGUCUAACGGGGUUUAACGUUGUCUAACGUGGCUUAACGUGGGUAAACGGAGUCUAACGGGGGCAAACGUUGUCUAACGGGGUUUAACAUGGUCUAACGGGGUUAAACGUGGUAUAGCGUAGCUUAACGUGGGUUUACACUGUUAGUUUCAGGGAGUUAUUUUUACUCCACUCGGAGAGUAAAAACUACUCUUUGCGGUGAAGUACUUUUAAAGGAGUAAUUUGAACUCCUUUAUUGGAGUAAAAACUACUCCACUGAGGAGUAAUUUUUUUGUUUACUCCCUUAACGGAGUAAGUUUUACUCUGCUGAGAAUUAGUAUCGAAUGUUUAUUAAAAAAAAGAGUAAUUUUCACUCUUGUUGGUCAAAUAAUGGAGUAAAAAGUACUCUUUUCUGGGAGUAAUUUUAGCAGAGUGAAAACUACUCCAACUAUCUGAAGUGAAAAGAGUUAUUUUUACUCCAGAUGGUCAAGAAAUGGAGUAAAAAAGUACACCUUUUUAGGGGGUAGGUUUUGAAGAGUAAAAACUACUCCAGCCAUCUCGUGUUGAAAGAGUAGUUUUUACUCCAGCUGUAUCUUUUUAGAGCAGUAACAAACCACUCCAAAUAUAUAAAAUAAAGGGAGUUGUUUUUUUACUCUGAAUUAGCUGAAUUUAAGAAGGAAAACGAUAGUCUUUAUUAUAUAAGACAAAAGAUAAAAAUAAUAAUUUAUCGUAUCUAUUGGUAUUGAGACAAAAAACUCUACCCUGUGCCUAGGAGUUUCCUAAGAUUUCCUAAGUUCGAUCAAAACAACAAAAUAUGAUUAAACUUCCUACAAAUUCCUAGGAUUUCCUAGUAUAAGCAGUAGACCAGAAAAUGGAAAUAAUUUGGAUAAGAAAAUCUUAGGAAGAAGAUUUGAAGUUCUACAAUUUAGGAACUCUUAGGAAAUCCUAAAAGAACAUUUUCAAUACAAGAACAGGCCUCACCAUACUUGCAUAUAUUGUCAGCUAUACUACAACAAUAAGAAAUGUAAUCAAAGACAGGCUUGGACUCGAACAUAAGUUUUAUGUGGUGUACUUUCAAAAUUCGCUCAGAAUAAUUAGUACUGCAUUUAAAAGAAAGAUAGGUAGGGUGAUAAUUGUAUAAAAUUCUUAGAUCCGAUUUGAACAUUAUAAAAUCAUAUAUAUUGUUUCUAAUAGAAAUGCUACUUGAGAUUAUAAAAAAAAGAAGUCCCGCUUUGCAGAUAGAAGACGGCUCACCAGGGCUCGUAAAACCAAAAUGUACCGGGCGUCCCUCGCUUUAGUGACCGAGAGGGGCUUGGGCCCAAGGCGCAAAAUCAUAACGGUCGAACGGAAGCCAUUAUCAUAACCUCCAAACAGAUAGCCGUUUAUUCCCGUCUUUUCUACGCGUAAUCCACCUUUUUUGAGGAUUUGAUGGCAGAACAUGGAUUGAAGUUAAAGGACAUUAUGAUAGAGAUAGUAAAAUGUGCUCGAGUUGAAAGCCAGAAAAGAAAGAAGUUUGAGGUAUAAGGAAUGUAUCAAUGCGUAAAUCGCAAGAAACGAAUAAAAACUUUGUAAACUUAA